GCCCCCGUAGUUCAAUGGACAGAACAGCGGACUCCUAAGCCGCUGAUAACCGUUCGAUUCGGUUCGGGGGCA
rnacentral:tRNA from 1 species